UACGUAGGUGACCAGCGUUGUCCGGAUUUACUGGGCGUAAAGAGCGCGCAGGCGGUCGUUCAAGUCGAGUGUGAAAGCCCCCGGCUCAACUGGGGAGGGUCAUUCGAUACUGAUCGACUCGAAGGCAGGAGAGGGAAGUGGAAUUCCCGGUGUAGUGGUGAAAUGCGUAGAUAUCGGGAGGAACACCAGUGGCGAAGGCGGUUACCUGGAGCUUUGCUGACGCUGAUGCGCGAAAGCGUGGGGAGCGAUCCGG
rnacentral:rRNA from 1 species